rnacentral:tRNA from 1 species
CAAAGUGUAGCUUAACUUAAAGCAUCUGGCUUACACCCAGAAGAUUUCAUACUGCUAUGACCACUUUGA